rnacentral:rRNA from 1 species
GAUGAACGCUGGCGGCGUGCCUAAUACAUGCAAGUCGAGCGAACGGACGAGAAGCUUGCUUCUCUGAUGUUAGCGGCGGACGGGUGAGUAACACGUGGAUAACCUACCUAUAAGACUGGGAUAACUUCGGGAAACCGGAGCUAAUACCGGAUAAUAUUUUGAACCGCAUGGUUCAAAAGUGAAAGACGGUCUUGCUGUCACUUAUAGAUGGAUCCGCGCUGCAUUAGCUAGUUGGUAAGGUAACGGCUUACCAAGGCAACGAUGCAUAGCCGACCUGAGAGAGUGAUCGGCCGCCCUGGAACUGAGACGCCGUCCAUGCUCCUACGGGAGGCAGCAGUAUGGAAUCUUCCGCAGUGGUCGAAAGCCUUACGGAGCAGCGCCGCGUGAGUUGUGAAGGUCUUCGGUUCGUGAAACUCUGUUAUUAGGUGAAAACAGAUGUGUAAUUAGCUGUGCACAUCUUGACGGUACCUAAUCAGAAAGCCACGGCUAACUACGUG